GACUGUAUAGUUCUUACUUUAGAAGUGGCUAAUUUAUUAGAUAGAAAGACUCUUGGUGGCAACAUUACGCUGAAAGUUGAUAUUUCUAAAGCGUUCGAUACCUUGAGUUGGAGUUUUAUUCUAAAGGUCCUUCACUAGUUUGGUUUUAGUGAGAAUUUUUUUGUAUGGAUUAAAAGCAUUUUGUCCUCAUCCAAUGUUUCAAUAUCUAUUAAUGGGGAGCAAC
rnacentral:lncRNA from 1 species